CCUACGGGCGGCUGCAGUGGGGAAUAUUGGACAAUGGGGGGAACCCUGAUCCAGCCAUGCCGCGUGUGUGAAGAAGGCCCUCGGGUUGUAAAGCACUUUCAGUGAGGAAGGACGCCUGGUGGUUAAUACCCAUCAGGAAAGACAUCACUCACAGAAGAAGCACCGGCUAACUCCGUGCCAGCAGCCGCGGUAAUACGGAGGGUGCGAGCGUUAAUCGGAAUUACUGGGCGUAAAGCGCGCGUAGGUGGCUUGAUAAGCCGGUUGUGAAAGCCCCGGGCUCAACCUGGGAACGGCAUCCGGAACUGUCAAGCUAGAGUGCAGGAGAGGAAGGUAGAAUUCCCGGUGUAGCGGUGAAAUGCGUAGAGAUCGGGAGGAAUACCAGUGGCGAAGGCGGCCUUCUGGACUGACACUGACACUGAGGUGCGAAAGCGUGGGUAGCAAACAGGAUUAGAUACCCUAGUAGUC
rnacentral:rRNA from 1 species